rnacentral:rRNA from 1 species
AGUAAAUAGAUACCCCCGGUAGUCCACGCCGUAAACGAUGUCGACUUGGAGGUUGUGCCUCUGAGGCGUGGCUUCCGGAAGCUAAACGCGUUAAGUCGACCGCCUGGGGAGUACGGCCGCAAGGUUAAAACUCAAAUGAAUUGACGGGGGCCCGCACAAGCGGUGGAGCAUGUGGUUUAAUUCGAUGCAACGCGAAGAACCUUACCUACUCUUGACAUCCAGAGAACUUUCCAGAGAUGGAUUGGUGCCUUCGGGAACUCUGAGACAGGUGCUGCAUGGCUGUCGUCAGCUCGUGUUGUG